CGAGGGAGUGCUACCACUGCAG
rnacentral:siRNA from 1 species